CUGACAUUUCAUAGCUCCUCUGUCGCCUCAGAGAGAGAGAUAUCACCGUGUUGAAAUGGUUGAUUUGUACAGCGACUUCGUUGGAGUGUGACCCCAUUUCUCUGUGCCUACAGGUCAUCUGAUCAACAGCUGUCUCUCAGGGGUUUUGUUGGCCCGACUCACUCUUCAUCUGUUUGUGUGGUUCUGAGCCUGUGAGCAUUUCAGUAGGCUUACGUGAAGUGGGGUGGAGAGAGGGUGAAGACAUGCAGCAGAGGUCUCUGGGUGGGGACCUAGUAUGCCUGUGUCGAUGACUGAGGCGUCCGUAUAUGGGUCUCGUGCUGUACCGCUACGCCAUGCGCCACUUCCAUAUCCUUUGCAGCUUCAGACCAUGAUAAUGAUUUUGGCCGCUGGCACUCUUUAACAGCAAGCAUUUGAACUGAUUUCCAAGUGAGAGCCUAAUGUAAAAGCCUCUUGAAUUUUAUUUGGACCACAUUCAUAAUCUCAAUUGGUGGCUGCUCUGUUUCCCAAAUGACAAAAACAAAUCUUGUGCCAGCGUCUCUUAAAUGGCUGCUUGCCAGAUUGGUCCCGCUCUGUGUGGGAUUAACAGUGCAGAUGAUGUCAACUUUGGAAGUAGAUCCAGCUGGAAUGCACUGCUGUACACAGAAGAGUGUACUGAUGGAAAUUCUCUCCACUAUAUUCCUGCCAAUAUUUUCUUCCCUUUUUAAUUGAUAGCAGAAAGUAAUUUUUUGGUGGUAGGCUUUAGCUGUCAUUUGAUCCUGACACUGCCUGUAUUUUUUGCCACAUAUGACUGUCAUUCCUCUUCACUGUCAUUGCGUAAUUUGUUGGAAAAUUAGCCCAAGGAGCUCAGCUGUCAGUCUGAAUAAACACUUUCCACUAGCCUGA